CAUGCGCACAAACUUUACAACAAUAUGUACAAGAAAGUAAAGCAUGUUUAGAGGGAUUGAAAUUGUACAAUUACCAAAGUUUUAAGACACUAAAGGGAUAAUUUGGGGAUUUCAAUCUUCACAUGAAUGCUUCGGUUUCAGAUGAGACUUCAAUCGUCGCCCCCAUUCAAUUCAAUCCAAUCGAUAUCUCAACUGCUGCACUUGAAACCCUUUUCCGUAGUAUAGAUAGAUAAAACUUCAUGAUUGAAAGAAAAACAACAGCUUGAAAUUCCACAAACUUCGUAUUUCAAUCGCCUUAGGUUUUUCCAAAAACGAAAAUGGCCAGCGGUAGCAACAGCAAGAAAGAAGUGAUUCGAUUGGAGCGUGAAGCGGUCAUUCCAAUUUUGAAGCCUCGACUUUGUUGGGUUUGAAGAGGGGUUCUCGCAUACAUGGUCAGCCUAGGGUUAGGAUGAAGAUGCAGUGAGAUGACGGCACAGGUAAAUGUGUAGAAGGAUUCAGCUUCACCAAUUUCGUAACGUCGGUGAUGAUGGAAAUUUUCGGCUCCAAAUGCUUAUUCCUGUUACGACAAGCUCCAAAUGACGAAUGCUAACCAGCAGAGCGUCAGGUUGGAAUGCUCCAGGGAUUGGGGUUCGGGUCGGAAAAGAUAUGCAACGGAGAUGGAAAACGGCUUGGAUUCAAAACAAGUUUUGGGAUUACUUUUAGGAGAACUGUUUGGUAAUAGAAGAUGCGAUCUAAGAAUGAAAAAGUAUUGGUGUAUUGGUGGCGUAUUGAACGUUUAGAAAAGUGUAUAAUUUUCGCAUCUGUUUACAGAGGUCGGGGCAGUUUGACGAGCAGAUUGAACUACUUCAAUUGAAAAUUGCUUAUAUGGAGGAGAACUCUUUGAUAGAUGGAAACCAUACGAAGAUUGCAAGAUCACAAGGGAAGAAAAUUCAAAUUACGGUUCUACAAGAGUACUCAUGUAGGUCAAUCAUUUACAUGUACAUGUUUUAUCUAUUCGUUACACUGGUCAAAGUCAAAGUCACCAUGGUCAGAGUUUAUACCCAUCUGAUGACUUGCCAAAAACCGUGGUGAUGACACUUAAUCAAGGUUCAACGGUCAAGAGCAUGGAUUUUCAUACUGAACAAAAUCUUGCUUCUUGUUGGAACAAGUAUCGGUGACAUCAUGAUAUGGGAACUCGGUAGCAGAGAGAAACUUGCUCAUAAAAAUUUUAAAGUUUGGGAUCUUAGUGCCUUCUCGAUGCCUUUUCAGGUUGCUUUGACCAGCAACUAUACUGCAACGAUCAAUCGUGUAGCUUGGAGCCCUGAUGGAACCCUCUUUGGUAAGUCAUUAACUUUUUCCUUCAUGUAAAAUGCCAUUUUUGUCCCUGACGUCUGGGCCAUUUUUGCGACUUUCGUCCAAAGGUUUGUUUUUUCGCAUCUGGAUCCAAAAGUCUUGAAAUCUUUCCAUUUUUCAUCCGGCGUGUUAGUUGUUCUUGCCUUUGUAUGAGUUCCUGUUGUUGACUAUGACCAAGGAAAAUCAACUGUUGCAGAGUUCCCCUGCAGUCAAAUUUUAGCAUCGCGUUUUGAACGAUACUAUAAAUAUGAUGUUUUAUGCGUAGGCGACAAGUAACCCAUCUACACCUAUGGCUUCCUGAAUUAUGAGGUCUAGAGGUGACACACUGGUUGUGUCCAACUGGUUAGAUAACAUUAGGGCUAGAAAAAUGGGCGGGGCGGAUAGGGUGGCAUGCCGGGCCAGAACGGGUUUGGAUCAAAACGGGUCGGGUUGUUUUAGAAACAGAAAUAUUGAAUUAUAAAAUUUUAUUUUUCUCUGUAAAUAACUCAGUUCCUAAUAUAAGUUUAUAAAAUAUUUCUUUUUCUAAAGCGACCCCACCCGUUUUGACCAUAACCCAUUCUGACCCGAACCAAAAUAACCUUUUUUUUUAAAUCAACCAUUCUGACCCAAACCCAUUUUGACCCGGCAUGCCACCCGACCUGACCCGCCCGUUUUGCCAGCCCUAAUGUUACCUAACCAGCUGGACACGACCCCUUUCUCACCUAUAGACGUCAUAAUUCUAACUUUAUCUUGAGUUAUUAUUUUAGUU